CUCUGACAGGUAAACGGACCAUGUUUUCGGAUUCCUCUCGUCGGGGAUGAUCAAAGGGGGGGCUUGCCUGGUUGUUCAGACGAGACGGAGGGGUCGUCGGUGACGUAGUCAAUCACAAGGGCAUCAGCAUCAUCAAGGGGUCUA